rnacentral:rRNA from 1 species
CCCUUAGACGUUCUGGGCCGCACGCGCGCUACACUGACCAGUGCAACAAGCAUCCGUCCUUGGCCGACAGGCUCGGGCAAUCUUUGAACGCUGGUCGUGAUGGGGAUAGACUUUUGCAAUUUUUGGUCUUCAACGAGGAAUUCCUAGUAAACGCAAGUCAUCAACUUGCAUUGAUUACGUCCCUGCCCUUUGUACACACCGCCCGUCGCACCUACCGAUUGAAUGGUCCGGUGAAGCCUCCGGAUUGGCGCGCACCCCGGUGCCGCCGAGAAGUUGGCUAAACCUUACCAUUUAGAGGAAGGUGAAGUCGUANCA